rnacentral:rRNA from 1 species
AUUGAACGCUGGCGGCAGGCCUAACACAUGCAAGUCGAACGGUAACAGGAAACAGCUUGCUGUUUCGCUGACGAGUGGCGGACGGGUGAGUAAUGUCUGGGAAACUGCCUGAUGGAGGGGGAUAACUACUGGAAACGGUAGCUAAUACCGCAUAACGUCGCAAGACCAAAGAGGGGGACCUUCGGGCCUCUUGCCAUCGGAUGCGCCCAGAUGGGAUUAGCUAGUAGGUGGGGUAACGGCUCACCUAGGCGACGAUCCCUAGCUGGUCUGAGAGGAUGACCAGCCACACUGGAACUGAGACACGGUCCAGACUCCUACGGGAGGCAGCAGUGGGGAAUAUUGCACAAUGGGCGCAAGCCUGAUGCAGCAAUGCCGCGUGUAUGAAGAAGGCCUUCGGGUUGUAAAGUACUUUCAGCGGGGAGGAAGGGAGUAAAGUUAAUACCUUUGCUCAUUGACGUUACCCGCAGAAGAAGCACCGGCUAACUCCGUG